rnacentral:lncRNA from 1 species
GUAAGGCCCAAGGCCAGCAGGAUCACUUUGCAAAAGGCAUAUAUACAGGGAAGAGUGAAGUGUUGUGGCCCAUUGUUUGCAAUGUUCCAUGUUUAUACCCAACACAACAAAAAGAGUGUUUCACAUCUGCUCGGUCUAAAGGUUGGUUCACUUCUGUGAGUUGAAUACAGGCACCAAAAAGAAGUUACUGAGAAUUCUUCUUUCUAGCAUUAUAUGAAGAAAUCCCGUUUCCAAAGAAGGCCUCAAAGAGGUAUAAAUAUCCACUUGCAGACUUUACAAAGAGAGUUUUUCCAAACUGCUCUAUGAAAAGAAAGGUUAAACUCGGCGAGUUGAACGCACACAUCACAAAGUAGUUUCUGAGAAUGAUUCUCUCUUGUUUUUCUACGAAUAUAUGUCCUUUUCUACCAUUGGCCUCAAAGCGAUUGAAAUCUGCACCUGGAAAUUCCACAAAAAGAGUGUAUCAAAUCUGCUCUGUCAAAAGGAAGUUUCAAUUCUGCUAGUUGAAUAAAUAUAACACAAAUAAGUUUCUGAGAAUUCUUCUGUCUAACAUUAUAUGAAGAAAUCCCGUUUCCAACGAAGGCCUCAAAGGUGUCCAAAUAUCCACUGGCAAACUUUACAAAGAGAGUGUUUCCAAACUGCUCAAUCAAAAGAAAGGUUAAACUCUGUGAAUUGAAUGCACACAUCACAAAGUAGUUUCUGAGAAUGAUUCUGUCUACUUUUUAUACGAAGAUAUUUCCUUUUCUACUUUUGGCCUAUAAGCGCUUGAAAUCUCCAACUUCAAAUAUCACAGAAAGAGUGUUUCACAUCUGCUCCAUUGAAAAGAAGGUUCAACUCUGUGAGUUGAAUACACAGGACACAAAGAAGUUACUGAGAAUUCUUUGUCCAGCAGUAUAUGAAGAAAUCCCGUUUCCAACGAAGGCCUCAAAGAGGUCCAAUUUUCCACGUGCAGAUAUUAAAAAGAGAGUGAUUCUAAACAGCACUAUGAAAAGAAAUGUUAAACUCUGUGAGUUGAACGCUCACAUGACAAAGUAGUUUCUCAGAAUGAUUCUGUCUAGAUUUUAUACGAAGAUACUACGUUUUCUACCCUUGGCCUGAAAGCGCUUGAAAUCUCCACAUGCAAAUUCCACAAAAAGAGUGUAUCAAAUGUGCUCUGUCUAAAGGAAGGUUCAAGUCUGUGAGUGGAAUACACACAACACAAAGAAGUUACUGAGAAUUCUUCUGUCUAGCAUUAUAUGAAGAAAUCCCUUUUCUAAGGAAAGUCUCGAAGAGGUCCAAAUAUCCUCUUGCGGACUAUCCAACCAGAGUGUUUCCACACUGCUGCAUGAAAAGAAAGGUUAAACUCUGUGAGUUGAACGCACACAUCAAAAAGUAGUUUCUGAGAAUGAUUCUGUCUAAUUUUUAUACGAAGAUAUUUCUUUUUCUACCAUUGGCCUCAAAGCGAUUGAAAUUUCCACAUGGAAAUUCCACAAAAAGAGUGUUUCAAAUCUGCUCUGUCUAAAGGAAAGUUCAACUCUGUGAGUUGAAUGCACACAACAGAAAUAAGUUACUGAGAAUUCUUCUGUCUAACAUUAUACGAAGAAAUCACGUUUCCAACGAAGGACACAAAGAGGUCCAUAUAUCCACUUGCUGAAUUUACAAGGAGAGUGUCUCCAAACUGCUCAAUCAAAAGAAAGUUUAAACUCCGUGAAUUGAACGCACCCAUCACAAAGUAGUUUCUGAGAAUGAUUCUGUCUAUAUUUUAUACGAAGAUAUUUCCUUUUCUACUUUUGGCGUAUAAGCGCUCGAAAUCUCCAACUGCAAAUAUCACAAAAAGAGGUUUUCACAUCUGCUCUGUCUAAAGGAAGUUUCAACUCUAUGAGUUGAAUACACACAACACAAGGAAGUUAUUAAGAUUUAUUCUGUCUAGCAGUAUAUGAAGAAAUCCCGUUUCCAAUGAAGGCCUCAAAGAGGUCCAAAUAUCCUCUUGCAGACUUUACAAACAGAGUGUUUCCAGGCUGCUCUAUGAAAAGAAAGGUAAACAUAUCACUCUUAUUUGAAUACUUUUAUAUUUGUUCCUAUUCAACUUAGGACAGUAUUAUAAUAGAACAGACUCCCAAUGUUACCAAUAAGCUAAUAAUGUUGCUAUAGAAACUUAUUCAAAUCAUUUAUACACAUUUUCCACAUAAUACAAAUUCUGUUUUAACAUGACCACGUUGUACAUUAACCCCACAAGUUAUAGCUGGGAAUUGAUAAUUAACCUCAAUGCCACACAGAAAACCAGUG